GCGAUGAGGUGUGGGUAGGGGAGAAAUUCCAAUCGAACCCGGAGAUAGCUGGUUCUCCUCGAAAUAGCUUUAGGGCUAGCCUCGGUUUAGUCUGCUGGAGGUAGAGCACUGAAUUUCCUAGGGGGCGUCAAAGCUUACCGAAGAAUAUCAAACUCCGAAUGCCAGCCAGAUGAUGACCGGGAGUCAGACUGCACGAGAUAAGUUGGGUAGUCAAAAGGGAAAGAGCCCAGACCACCGGCUAAGGUCCCAAAGUGCGUGUUAAGUGGAAAAGGAUGUGGGAAUUCGAAGACAACUAGGAUGUUGGCUCAGAAGCAGCCAUACAUUCAAAGAGUGCGUAACAGCUCACUAGUCGAGAGUUCCUGCGCCGAAAAUGUCCGGGGCUGAAACACGACACCGAAGCCGUGGACUCGCAAUGCGAGUGGUAGAGGAGCAUUCUUAAAACCGACGAAGCUGUACCGAAAGGAGCAGUGGAGGGAUAAGAAGAGAGAAUGCCGGAAUGAGUAGCGAGAGAAAGGUGGGAAUCCUUUCGGCCGAAUAUCUAAGGUUUCCAGAGUAAAGCUGAUCUGCUCUGGGUAAGUCGGGGCCUAAGCACAGGUCGCAAGACGUAAGCGAUGGAUAACAGGUUUAGAUUCCUGUACCACGCAUUAUCAGAACUGUAGGGACGCAUGUGGAAAGCACGAGCCGGGAAUGGAAAGACCGGUACAAGCGGGGUAGGUGUACAACAGGCAAAUCCGUUGUAUAAUCCGAAGACGUGAUGUGGAGCGAAAUAAAGUAGUGAAGCGUGUGAGCCAUGUGCCGAGAAAAGCUGCUAUUGUGUAAUGCGUGCCCGUACCGUAAACCGACACAGGUGGAUGAGGAGAGAAUCCUAAGGCCGACGGAAGAAGCAUUGUUAAGGAAUUCGGCAAAAUGACCCCGUAACUUCGGGAGAAGGGGUGCCUACGAAUGUAGGCCGCAGAGAAUUGGCCCAAGCAACUGUUUAGCAAAAACACAGGUCUAUGCGAAACCGAAAGGUGAAGUAUAUGGGCUGACGCCUGCCCGGUGCUGGAAGGUUAAGAGGAGAGGUUAGCUUCGGCGAAGCUUUGAAUUUAAGCCCCAGUAAACGGCGGCCGUAACUAUAACGGUCCUAAGGUAGCGAAAUUCCUUGUCGGGUAAGUUCCGACCCGCACGAAAGGCGUAAUGAUUUGAGCGCUGUCUCGGCAAUACAUCCGGUGAAAUUGAAGUGCCAGUGAA
rnacentral:rRNA from 1 species